GGGAAGAGCUCAAGCUGAAAAUCUUCGGAAUUGUGGUCUAUAGGUGCGGACUCGCGCAGCCCCAGGUAUAAAUCCGUUCUUGGAAUUGGGUGCCAGAGAGGGUUAGAGCCCCGUCUUUGACUUGGGUAGCUGUGCGUGGCGAGUCUUUACCGGAGAGUCGGCUUGCUUGGGAAUGCAGGCCAAAAUGGGUGGUAAACUUCAUCUAAAGCUAAAUAUUGGCGAGAGACCGAUAGCG
rnacentral:rRNA from 15 species